rnacentral:lncRNA from 1 species
GAGAUGGCCAGCAUAUCCUCUGUGAAGAAUCUGCAGUGCUGAAACUCAUUCUUGCCUUCCAAAAUUUCGACUUUCCACAUUUUUCAAAAUCUGGGUCUUACAAAAAUUGAUCAGGAGCUGAAGUUAGGCCUCAACAGCCACUUGAAUUCUUUCCAUUAGCAGUUCUUAUUGUGGUGUGUAUAAAAGGGAGCUGCAGCAAAAGUGAUGCAUAUCCAGAACACCACCAGGCACCUCACAUUGGAAGAAAGUGGAUUAUUGGAAGCUAAUCUCAGGUUUAUUACUGGAUGCUGUGGAAUUAACACACGGGAGGCCUAUCUCUUUGCACCUGGGUGGGAUAAUGGCAGAAACUUCAGGUAUACUACCAAAUAUGUGUAAUAUUCUUUCUGACAGAGACAACAUAUGACAAUAAAUUCUUUAAGAGAAAUUUGAAUUUUCCA